rnacentral:rRNA from 1 species
UGGGGAAUAUUGCACAAUGGAGGGAACUCUGAUGCAGCGACGCCGCGUGAGUGAUGAAGGAAUUCGUUUCGUAAAACUCUGUUCUAUGGGAAGAAAAGGACUGUACCAUAGGAGAAAGCUCCGGCUAAAUACGUGCCAGCAGCCGCGGUAAUACGUAUGGAGCGAGCGUUGUCCGGAAUUAUUGGGCGUAAAGGGUGCGCAGGCGGCUUUACAAGUUGGAUGUGAAAUAUUGUGGCUCAACCACAAACGUGCAUCCAAAACUGCAAAGCUUGAGUUAAGGAGAGGUAAGUGGAAUUCCUGGUGUAGCGGUGGAAUGCGUAGAUAUCAGGAGGAAUACCGGAGGCGAAGGCGACUUACUGGACUUAAACUGACGCUCAGGCACGAAAGCGUGGGGAGCAAACAGG